rnacentral:rRNA from 1 species
GGCGAGUGAAGCGGCAACAGCUCAAAUUUGAAAUCUGGCCCUCGGGUCCGAGUUGUAAUUUGCAGAGGAUGCUUCGGGCGAGGCUUUGAUCGAGUCCCCUGGAAUGGGGCGCCACAGAGGGUGAGAGCCCCGUAUGAUCAGCCGCCGAACCCGUGUGAAGCUCCUUCGACGAGUCGAGUAGUUUGGGAAUGCUGCUCUAAAUGGGAGGUAAAUUUCUUCUAAAGCUAAAUACCGGCCAGAGACCGAUAGCGCACAAGUAGAGUGAUCGAAAGAUGAAAAGCACUUUGAAAAGAGAGUUAAAAAGCACGUGAAAUUGUUGAAAGGGAAGCGCCUAUGACCAGACUCGGGCUCUUGGGAUCAUCCGCCCUUCUGGGCGGUGCACUCCCUCGUUCUCGGGCCAGCAUCGGUUCUCCUCGGGGGAUAAAGGCGCCAGGAACGUGGCUCCCUUCGGGGAGUGUUAUAGCCUGGCGCGUCAUGCUCCGGGGGGGACCGAGGACCGCGCUUCGGCAUGGAUGCUGGCGUAAUGGUCACCGGCGACCCGUCUUGAAACACGGACCAAGGAGUCAAGCAUUAGGGCGAGUGUACGGGUGUAAAACCCGAACGCGCAGUGAAAGCGAACGCUGGUGAGAGCUUCGGCGCAUCACCGACCGAUCCUGAAGUCUUCGGAUGGAUUUGAGUAGGAGCCUUAACGCUUGGACCCGAAAGAUGGUGAACUAUGCCUGAAUAGGGUGAAGCCAGAGGAAACUCUGGUGGAGGCUCGCAGCGGUUCUGACGUGCAAAUCGAUCGUCAAAUUUGGGCAUAGGGGCGAAAGACUAAUCGAACCAUCUAGUAGCUGGUUACCGCCGAAGUUUCCCUCAGGAUAGCAGUGUUGUCUUCAGUUUUAUGAGGUAAAGCGAAUGAUUAGGGA